GGGGGAUAUUGCACAAUGGGGGAAACCCUGAUGCAGCAACGCCGCGUGAAGGAAGACGGUUUUCGGAUUGUAAACUUCUGUUCUUAGUGACGAUAAUGACGGUAGCUAAGGAGAAAGCUCCGGCUAACUACGUGCCAGCAGCCGCGGUAAUACGUAGGGAGCGAGCGUUGUCCGGAAUUACUGGGUGUAAAGGGAGCGUAGGCGGGAGAUCAAGUCAGAUGUGAAAACUACGGGCUCAACCCAUAACCUGCAUUUGAAACUGUUCUUCUUGAGUGAAGUAGAGGCAGGCGGAAUUCCGAGUGUAGCGGUGAAAUGCGUAGAUAUUCGGAGGAACACCAGUGGCGAAGGCGGCCUGCUGGGCUUUUACUGACGCUGAGGCUCGAAAGCAUGGGGAGCAAAC
rnacentral:rRNA from 1 species